rnacentral:tRNA from 1 species
GGAGGGUAUAGCUCAGUGGUAGAGUGCAUGCUUAACAUGCAUAAGGUCCUGGGUUCAAACCCCAGUACCUCCA